GUUUGAUCAUGGCUCAGGGUGAACGCUAGCGGGAGGCUUAACACAUGCAAGUCGAGGGGCAGCAUAAUGUAGCAAUACGUUGAUGGCGACCGGCGCACGGGUGAGUAACACGUAUGUAACCUACCCUGUACAGGGGGAUAACCCGGAGAAAUUCGGACUAAUAUCCCAUAAAGAUAUGAGAAGGCAUCUUUUUAUAUUUAAAGCUCAGGCGGUACGGGAUGGGCAUGCGCAACAUUAGCUAGUUGGUAGGGUAACGGCCUACCAAGGCUACGAUGUUUAGGGGACCUGAGAGGGUGAACCCCCACACUGGUACUGAGACACGGACCAGACUCCUACGGGAGGCAGCAGUGAGGAAUAUUGGUCAAUGGGCGCAAGCCUGAACCAGCCAUCCCGCGUGCAGGAAGACGGCGCUAUGCGUUGUAAACUGCUUUUCCAGGGGGAGAAUUUUCCGGUCGUGACCGGGAUUGACGGUACCCUGGGAAUAAGCAUCGGCUAACUCCGUGCCAGCAGCCGCGGUAAUACGGAGGAUGCGAGCGUUAUCCGGAUUUAUUGGGUUUAAAGGGUGCGUAGGCGGAUCAAUAAGUCAGUGGUGAAAACCUGCAGCUUAACUGUAGAUGUGCCGUUGAUACUGUUGGUCUUGAGUAUGGUCAAGGUAGGCGGAAUGUGUAAUGUAGCGGUGAAAUGCUUAGAUAUUACACAGAACACCGAUUGCGAAGGCAGCUUGCUGGGCCAUUACUGACGCUGAUGCACGAAAGCGUGGGGAUCGAACAGGAUUAGAUACCCUGGUAGUCCACGCCGUAAACGAUGAUCACUCGCUGUUGGCGAUACACAGUCAGCGGCUAAGCAAAAGCAUUAAGUGAUCCACCUGGGGAGUACGGCC
rnacentral:rRNA from 1 species